GCCAGACUCCUACGGGAGGCAGCAGUGGGGAAUAUUGGGCAAUGGGCGCAAGCCUGACCCAGCAACGCCGCGUGAAGGAAGAAGGCUUUCGGGUUGUAAACUUCUUUUCUCAGGGACGAAGCAAGUGACGGUACCUGGGGAAUAAGCCACGGCUAACUACGUGCCAGCAGCCGCGGUAAUACGUAGGUGGCGAGCGUUAUCCGGAUUUACUGGGUGUAAAGGGCGUGUAGGCGGGGACGCAAGUCAGAUGUGAAAUCUGGAGGCUCAACCUCCAAAUUGCAUUUGAAACUGUUUUUCUUGAGUACUGGAGAGGCAGACGGAAUUCCUUGUGUAGCGGUGAAAUGCGUAGAUAUAAGGAGGAACACCAGUGGCGAAGGCGGUCUGCUGGACAGCAACUGACGGUGAGGCGCGAAAGCGUGGGGAGCAAACAGGAUUAGAUACCCGCGUAA
rnacentral:rRNA from 1 species